rnacentral:rRNA from 1 species
UACGUAGGGUGCGAGCGUUGUCCGGAAUUACUGGGCGUAAAGAGCUCGUAGGUGGUUUGUCGCGUUGUUCGUGAAAACUCACAGCUCAACUGUGGGCGUGCGGGCGAUACGGGCAGACUGGAGUACUGCAGGGGAGACUGGAAUUCCUGGUGUAGCGGUGGAAUGACGCAGAUAUCAGGAGGAACACCGGUGGCGAAGGCGGGUCUCUGGGCAGUAACUGACGCUGAGGAGCGAAAGCGUGGGGAGCGAACAGG